rnacentral:rRNA from 1 species
GGACUACUGGGGUAUCUAAUCCUGUUUGCUCCCCACGCUUUCGUGCCUCAGCGUCAGUUGCCGUCCAGAGAGUCGCUUUCGCCACCGGUAUUCCUCCUGAUCUCUACGCAUUUCACCGCUACACCAGGAAUUCCACUCUCCCCUCCGGCACUCCAGCUCCCCAGUUUCUAGCGCCCUUCCCGGGCUGAGCCCAGGGCUUUCACACCAGACUUAAGAAGCCGCCUACGCACCCUUUACGCCCAAUGAUUCCGAGCAACGCUUGCACCUUCCGUCUUACCGCGGCUGCUGGCAC